rnacentral:rRNA from 1 species
CCUACGGGAGGCAGCAGUGAGGAAUAUUGGUCAAUGGGCGCUAGCCUGAACCAGCCAAGUAGCGUGAAGGAUGACUGCCCUGUGGGUUGUAAACUUCUUUUAUAUGGGAAUAAAGUGCAGUAUGUAUACUGCUUUGCAUGUACCUGAUGAAUAAGGAUCGGCUAACUCCGUGCCAGCAGCCGCGGUAAUACGGAGGAUCCGAGCGUUAUCCGGAUUUCUUGGGUUUAAAGGGAGCGUAGGCGGGUUGUUAAGUCAGUUGUGAAAGUUUGCGGCUCAACCGUCAAAUUGCAGUUGAUACUGGCAUCCUGGAGUAGAGUAGAGGUACGCGGAAUGCGUGGUGUAGCGGUGAAAUGCUUAGAUAUCACGCAGAACUCCGAUUGCGAAGGCAGCCUGCUGGACUGUAACUGACGCUGAUGCUCGAAAGUGUGGGUAUCAAACAGGAUUAGAUACCCGGGUAGUC